rnacentral:rRNA from 1 species
CGCAACCCUUAUCCUUUGUUGCCAGCGGUUCGGCCGGGAACUCAAAGGAGACUGCCAGUGAUAAACUGGAGGAAGGUGGGGAUGACGUCAAGUCCUCAUGGCCCUUAUGGGUAGGGCUACACACGUCAUACAAUGGCCGGGACAGAGGGCUGCCAACCCGCGAGGGGGAGCUAAUCCCAGAAACCCGGUCGUAGUCCGGAUCGUAGUCUGCAACUCUACUGCGUGAAUUCGGA